GGGCGCUUAACUCAGCGGCUAGAGUGCUAUCCUCACACGGUAGAAGUCACUGGUUCGAAUCCAGUAGCGCCCA
rnacentral:tRNA from 1 species